rnacentral:rRNA from 1 species
AUUGAACGCUGGCGGCAGGCCUAACACAUGCAAGUCGAACGGUAACAGGAAGCAGCUUGCUGCUUUGCUGACGAGUGGCGGACGGGUGAGUAAUGUCUGGGAAACUGCCUGAUGGAGGGGGAUAACUACUGGAAACGGUAGCUAAUACCGCAUAACGUCGCAAGACCAAAGAGGGGGACCUUAGGGCCUCUUGCCAUCGGAUGUGCCCAGAUGGGAUUAGCUAGUAGGUGGGGUAACGGCUCACCUAGGCGACGAUCCCUAGCUGGUCUGAGAGGAUGACCAGCCACACUGGAACUGAGACACGGUCCAGACUCCUACGGGAGGCAGCAGUGGGGAAUAUUGCACAAUGGGCGCAAGCCUGAUGCAGCCAUGCCGCGUGUAUGAAGAAGGCCUUCGGGUUGUAAAGUACUUUCAGCUGGGAGGAAGGGAGGAAAGUUAAUACCUUUCCGUAUUGACGUUACCCGCAGAAGAAGCACCGGCUAACUCCGUG